GACGAACGCUGGCGGCGUGCUUAACACAUGCAAGUCGAACGGAAAGGCCCUGCUUUUGUGGGGUGCUCGAGUGGCGAACGGGUGAGUAACACGUAAGUAACCUGCUCUAGACUUUGGGAUAACUUCAGGAAACUGGGGCUAAUACCAGAUAGGAGCUCCUGCUGCAUGGUGGGGGGUGGAAAGUUUCGGCGGGUGGGGAUGGAGUCGCGGCUUAUCAGCUUGUUGGUGGGGUAGUGGCUGACCAAGGCUUUGACGGGUAGCCGGCCUGAGAGGGUGACCGGCCACAUUGGUACUGAGGGACGGCCCAGACGGCUACGGGGGGCAGCGGUGGCGAAUAUUGCACAAUGGGCGGAAGCCGGAUGCAGCGACGCCGGGUGCGGAAUGACGGUCUUCGGGGAAUAAACCGCUUUCGCCUGUGACGAAGCGUUUGUGACGGUAAUGUAUAAAGAAGCACCGGCUAACUACGUG
rnacentral:rRNA from 1 species